UUCUUCUAAGUGCAUGUCUAAAACCCAGCGAGAUACACUUGGAAGCGGACUUCACUGUGUGUCUCUUGGUGACUCCCCAAACCGGCGACGCCGGUCCCAACACUCAUUUACACUGUCUGGCACACACACUCGCGCUUUGUGAGCAACUGCACUUUUACCAUCAUGGGCAGCCAAAGGACGACUUUUGUAAGCGCUAGGAUCAAAGCGAAGCGCUUCUGCGCUACGCUCACGGUGAAGCUCCUGGUGCCAUAGAGAGUCCCCCGGUUCUCACGCCUGCAGGCUUCAGCCCCAGCGGCAGCGGGCGCACCCGGUCCGAACACGGUGUCGGAGCUCGGAGAGCAUCCCCCAGAGCGCCGCAGACUCGGGCCUGGAGCAUCCUCUGGGGACAGGGAAACCACUCUCCCCGCAGUAGGAGGGGUCCCAGGAAUUGAAGCUCCACGGGAAAUUUCCUGGUAGUUGGAGUGGAGUCUCGGCGGCUCCUCCGAACACAGCAAUCGGUGAGUGAGUGGGACUGAGAGGCCCACGAGGAGUCCGAAGGCCAAAGCGUACACGAUAGAGAGGAAUAGUACGUAGGAGCUGGAGCAGUCCACCAGGCAGCCCCAGGGCGUGCGCACGAAGGCGCCCCAGCCGCACAGCGGGAGCGCCGAGAGCAGCAGACUGGCUGCCCACACGGUCAGCACCACGCCGAGCACCUGGCCCGAUCUUCUGGAGGCUGUCUGGCUCCCCACACCUCUGUGCAUCGUAUAAAAGUUGUAAGAGACUAGGAGAGUCGCCUUCAAGUUGCUAGAGAGGCCCUGGCAUAAAUACAUUAAGGCAGAGGUGGUGCACAGAAAUUGGAAGUAACCGGGGACCUCGUUUGGCCACUGCAAAAACAUGAAGAUGGUCACCGACAGGACGCUCAUGAGAUCAUCCACAGACCAGGAAGCCACAAGCAUGGACACAACAGUUCUGUUCUGCAUUUUCAGCAGGGAAAUUAGUGAAUAAAUGCUGCCCACCAAGGCUGCAAAAGUCAUGAGACAUGUCAAGCAAAAAAGAUAGAUAUUCAGGGUUCCUGGCGGAUUUAAAAGGUCCGUAGAAUUAUGAUUCUCUUUCCACAGGC
rnacentral:lncRNA from 1 species